rnacentral:misc_RNA from 1 species
UUUUUUUUUUUCCGGGGAAAAUCGUUUUCGGUGCUUCGCGAUUGCUAUGUGCGACUGUCGGUGGUUAGAGAUCAGUUUUGUCUAGCAGUGGCGGAUUUCUGAAGAUUGCGGUUCUGGUGGUGUGUUAGAGAUGGAUCGGGAAGGAGGAUCCAACGGCGGAUCUUGCUACUACUCUGUUCUGGGGAUUCGCAGGGACGCCUCCUUCUCUGAUAUCCGCACUGCUUAUCGCAAACUCGCUAUGAAAUGGCAUCCAGACAAGUGGGCCCGAAAUCCGGGGGUGGCCGGAGAGGCAAAACGGCGGGUUCAGCAAAUCCAAGAAGCGUACUCCGUUCUCUCAGACGAAGCAAAGAGGUCAAUGUACGAUGCUGGGCUUUAUGAUCCUCUGGAGGGAGAAGAUGAAGACUUUUGUGACUUCAUGCAAGAGAUGAUUUCCAUGAUGAACAAUGUGAAAGACGAGGGAGACAGUUUUGAAGAUCUUCAAAGGAUGUUCGUGGAGAUGGUCGGUGGAGAUGAAGUGAGCUUUGACCUUAAUGGAGAUCCAACGGAUAGAAAGAGGGCACGCGUUAAUUCAUCAAAAGGUAAUGCGGCUAAGCGCAACACGUCUCGCUGCUGACGCACUUUACUGGAUCAAUCAUUCAUUCAAAGCCCAUUGGAUUGGAAGCUAUCCCGGGCUUGUGAUGUGUAACUUGGGGGGGCGCCACGCACCGGAUAGUUUAGAUAAGUUAGGCUUAUUAUUAUUAUUAUUGCUAUCGUGACAGGUUCAGAAGCUUUAUGAUAUGAUAGAUGGAAUAAA